rnacentral:rRNA from 1 species
UACAGAGGGUGCAAGCGUUGUUCGGAAUCAUUGGGCGUAAAGGGCGCGUAGGCGGUUUCAAAAGUCGGAUGUGAAAGCCCAGGGCUCAACCCUGGAAGUGCAUCCGAAACUGCGAGACUUGAGUUUCGGAGAGGGUGGUGGAAUUCCCAGUGUAGAGGUAAAAUUCGUAGAUAUUGGGAGGAACACCGGUGGCGAAGGCGACCACCUGGCUGAAAACUGACGCUGAGGCGCGAAAGCGUGGGGAUCAAACAGG